UACGGAGGGUGUAAGCGUUGUUCGGAAUUAUUGGGCGUAAAGGGCGCGUAGGCGGUUGUGAAAGUCAGAUGUGAAAUACUUCGGCUCAACUGAAGAACUGCAUCUGACACUUCAUCACUCGAGUACAGGAGAGGGAAACGGAAUUCCCGGUGUAGAGGUGAAAUUCGUAGAUAUCGGGAGGAACACCAGUGGCGAAGGCGGUUUCCUGGCCUGAUACUGACGCUGAGGCGCGAAAGCGUGGGGAGCAAGCAGGAUUAGAUACCCUGGUAGUCCACGCUGUAAACGGUGAAUACUAGGUGUGGGAGGUGUAAUACCUUCUGUGCCGAAGCUAACGCGUUAAGUAUUCCGCCUGGGAAGUACGGCCGCAAGGUUGAA
rnacentral:rRNA from 1 species